GCUCUCCCAAAGGAAGAAACAGGGAACAUUCAGACUCGGCAGCUGAUGGGACACCACGAGGCUCCUCCUCUGGCUCUUCCUGGUUCAGCUUCACCUCAGGAACAUUUCAGGAGGGCCAUCUCCCGCUGCGCUGCGCUUUUUGAAAAGCCCUUGUAAGAAGCAACAGUCCCACUGCCUACUCUUUUCUCCCUCCUUUCCCUGUUCCUCCAGGUAGGCGCACUAAGAACGAUUUCCUUUGUGGGAAAUGAAGCAGACCCCGGCCGCAGAGGAUCCGUUGUCAUUUCUGAGGUGCAUUUAACUUAAAUAGCCAGGAGAUCUGGAGCCCCCAAAACAGGUCCCUGCAGUGUGGGUGUUCAGACACACGUGUUCCCUUCCUGUGACUGAGGAAGAAGAUGGGUGGAGCAAUGCCCUCUGCUGGAGCGAUGCCUCAUACUGCGUGGACAGAUGUGUGUGGGUGACCUAGCUGCCUGCCUUUUGUUCUCCGGUCUCUCACCCUGUUAUUUCUUCAACUCCCAACCACCGCACAGUUUUUUGUACUCAUGCGGCAUUCUUAACCUCUGACUUGAGUUUUGAGUGGUGUGGAAAACAAAGGAAGAAGUGGGAGGUGGUGAUGGUCUGUGACAUCACGGCCUCAUUCUGAUCUCACAAUCUCAUAGUUACAGGACAUUUCCUCUACCCUCCCUGCCUGGUAUUUGAAAAACUGAAAUCACCUCUACUUAGUGGGUUGGAGAAUGAAAAUGAGAUGGAGUUGCUUUGUAAAGUGUCCGGCCUGUUCUGCGUGUGCCAGGAAAGGUUGUUCCUAGCUGGGCAUGGUGGUGCACGCCUUUAAUCCCAGCACUUGGGAGGCAGAGGCAGGUGGAUUUCUGAGUUCGAGGCCAGCAUGGUCUACAGAGUGAGUGCCAGGACAGCCAGGGCUACCCCCCCCCCAAAAAAAAAAAAAAAAAAAAAAAAAAAGAAAGGUUGUUCCUCUAAGACAGGUCUCGUCCCUGACAAUGGCCUUGCUGGAACUUCCUUGCUUUUAGGGGCAGAGAAUGGGUCUUCCUGUAAUGAUUCAUGGUGUGAUAACCUAAUGUGUGAAGAAGGGCAAGCUUGGAGUGCUGUGACAGAUUCAAAUGAUGACACUCAAUGCUCAGUGAAUGAAGACACAGAUGGGGGUGGGGGUGGGGAAGUGGGGGCGGGGGCGUGUUGUAAGAAAGCCUCAAAGUGCAGCAGGCUUGGUUUCUGUCGAAGCUGCCUGAAUGGUGUGUGCAGAAGAACUGAAAGGCCUGAAAACUGAGGUGCCCACAGGAUGGAAGGGCUCGCCUGUGCAAGUGAUGGCACAAUCUUUGAGCAGCAUCCAAGAUUUGUUCUCUUCCUUUGGUUCAGAGAAGAGCCAAGUCUUCUGCAGUUUGAUGUGGAGACAGGAGCUUUCCUGCGGCCAAGCCAACCUUCCUCCCCUGCCGGUCCCCACUAAGGAACCGGUGUAAAGAAUCCCUUUGCCAAGUGCAUUCACUGGCAGAGUUCUGAAAGCUGUGGUCUCAAUGCCACAGAGUGUUAAUAACUUUAUACUUAUUAAUUAAUCUCAGAGGCAAGAGUUGUCCUGCCCACUGAAGACGGCACCAAAGGAAUGAAGAUUGUUCAGGGGUCUUGCAUAGAUCAAUGACCAAGCAAGUGACAGAAGAUGUUGGGCUCAAAACACCAGAACACAUUCAGUCAUCAGCCUGUCUCUGUGCUCUCUCUUCCCAUCCAGCCAAUGAGGAAACAGAACAGAAUAUGGCUUGCUGGGCCAUCCAGCUCUUCACAGAUCAAUCCCAAUCCUACUACAAAUGGUGUCCUUACCAAAACCAGCCAGAAGAGCACAUGUGACCAGGAAGCCCCAGUGACUGGACAUGCUCAGGGUCCAGCUGCUAUGACAGUGAGAGCGUUCUGCUGAAGGCCCUGCUGGAGUUGACGUGAAACGAGCCGUGCAGCUUGUUGGAGCUCACACCAGAUUUCCUCCUUUCCCUGUCCUGUUGUGUGUACACCAUUAACCUGGUGAGUCAGAAGACGGAUCAAAUGAGAGACCCCAACAUCUCCGGAGUAACCUGCUCUCAGGAGCUGACUCUUCUGCCGAGGUCAGAGAUGAUCAGACACAUCUGAAUUGCAAUUAGAGAUAAACAGAGCGCUGGGGCUUCUCAAGUCACCAGAGAAUAUGGCCGGGCGACUGGCAGCUACAAGGAUCCCAUUUAUGCGUUACGAUGCAGUUCUAUUCUUCAAUAGCUCACUCCAAACAAGGAAAUUAAAUUAAGCACUGUUUAAAAUGCCUCAGAUAAUAAUAUAAAUUUGUACUGAAUGAAUUUAGUGUCAUUUCCUUGUUUGGAAUGGAAGGUGAGAAAACAUGGGAGCGGAGGAAAGAGUAAAUAGCGAACUCGAUUAAUCCUCCUGGAAGAGAACGGAGCCACACGAGCGACUUUUGUGUCUGUUUGGUUAAUAUUUUCCUGAAAAUUGUUAUUAGCUCUAACUGAUCCAAAUCAAAACCCACCGUAUAACGUUGCCAACAACUUAAUAGCUGGAGCGCAGGCCGGAAGGCUUGCCGUGGCGCCGCAGCGGAAGCGAAGGGGGCACGGGUGUGCAGGAGCUUGAGAUUAAAACCUGUCAGAGAAAGGCUGAAGCCAAGUAGAGAGCUGGGCUGGUCCUGAGAGAAAAGGGUCAGGACUGUGGCCUGGAGGUGAUACAGGGUCUGUUCCACUAGUGCGUGGCUUUUUGUGACUUGUGAAGGACAGGCAGGGAUGGUAAGCCCCCCAAGGGGCUAAGUGAGGUGGAAUACACUUGUCUCCCGGAACUAGAGAGCUGAGGCCAUCCUGGGCCACAGAGUAAGCCUUUGCUUCAAAACAAACGAGACAAAACCAGCUAAUAAUAAGAGAAUGUCCAGCUCUGCCCACCAAGAGCCAUGGUUAUAGUAGCUGUCAUCUUCCUUGGGAGCAAGGAAGCCUGGGGAGACAAGAGGCGUGUCCCACUUACUCCCAGCCUUCGGGACUCUUUGUAGUGGAGGGCUUUUGCCUUCAACUCGAGGAGGCAGGACUCUUUUCCGUAUCCUUUCAAGGAGCAAGGAGAGAAGCUAAGAACAGAUGUCCAGGCUGCAUUGAGGCCUUCGGCUCGGAGCUUGCGAUACUCUAGCCACUUCUAGGUGUUGAGCCAGGACUAACGAUAAUUCUCAGGACCAACCUGGCCCAGCCCCACUUCCUGAACCUGUGUGGUCAGGAAAAUGAGGGGUUUCUGUCUCACGGCGGCGUCUGUUGAGAUACCUCAGGACGGAUUUGUAAGCUGGUGGUUUGUACUGGACCCUGAUUUUGCUGCUUCUCAGCUCUGAGCACAAAAUACCAUGGGGAAAACAAGGGCCGCCAGAGAGGGUUGACUGUGAUCUGUGGAGUGGUCAGUGUUUUCCUUCCAGGCAAGAGAAUCACACAUUUUCACUUCUUAGUAUGACUUACAAAGGCUCUAAAUUCCUAUCCUGGAAAUGUGAGAUGACACGAGAACUGAUCAUGUUUGCCGAUUCAGACUAUAGCUCACCUCUUCCAGAAACGAGUUCAGGUUGAGUCCUAACAUGAAAGAUAACAUUUAAUGGGUCCAUCUAAGGAAGCAGAGGAAGCCAGGCUUCCAGGAACUCUCUAAGGGGUGCUAAUUAGUGUGGCUGAAGAUCAGUCCAGCUGCAAGGCUUAGGUAACUAAGGCAAGCAGGAGAGAAUGCUGGGAUCCACGAUGUCGCACUAAGAAAAGCAAAACCUUUCUCUGGCACUCAUUUCUAGGAAAAACUUACAAUGUGUCCCUUUGGCUGCUGUGUUCCUCUUUUUUGAGACAGUCUCACUCUGCAAUCUGGGCUGGCCACAAACACAGUGAUCUUCCUGCUUCAGCUUCCAGUGCUGGGAUUUCAGGCAUGUAUGACCCUGCCUGGCUUUCCAAUAUGUCUUUUUGAAUAUAGUAUAUUGAGUAAGUUCCAUUGGUCAUGCACACUCUUCUGCACUGUGAGGUCACAAUGCACAUAGCUAAACAAUCUACAUCUUGUGGGA
rnacentral:lncRNA from 1 species